rnacentral:ncRNA from 1 species
UGAUAGAGGCGCGGAAUUCAUGAAUACUGUCAUGCAAGAGUCUGGGGAGAUUUACAUGACAGGAAAGGGAAAGCCGCCGAAGGAUCAGCAGAUUUCCCCUUAUGCUGGUUCUGGGACGCAGCAGAAGAUGCUGCGGACUGUCACACCAGUGGAGCGCUAUCGG